rnacentral:rRNA from 1 species
CCCUUAGAUGUUCUGGGCCGCACGCGCGCUACACUGAUGCAUUCAACGAGUCUAAAACCUGCUCUGAUAGGGGUGGGUAAUCUUUUGAAUGUGCAUCGUGAUUGGGAUAGAUGAUUGCAAUUUUUCAUCUUCAACGAGGAAUGCCUAGUAAACGCAAGUCAUCAGCUUGCAUUGAUUGCGUCCCUGCCCUUUGUACACACCGCCCGUCGCUCCUACCGAUUGAAUGAUCCGAUGAAUAUCAUGGAUUGAGGAUGCAAGUAGGUUCGCCUAUCUUCAUCUUCGAGAAGUGAAGUAAAUCUUAUCAUUUAGAGGAAGGAGAAGUCGUAACA